rnacentral:lncRNA from 1 species
CAUUCACCUUCCCGGCGUCGAGGUUCCCCAGCCGGUCUGUUACCGACCUCACCCCUGAGUGUCCCCACAGCCCGGCUCUCAGGUGCCGGACAGGUCUUUCCUACUCCCUCCUGCCUGUUCUGCCGGCCCCCAGGGCGAACCGCAAGACCGUUUAGAUAAAUCCGGCUCCUGUUUCUCUGCGGGGAGUUUAGGCUUGGUUAUUCUUCUCACUAUGGCUUUUCAGUUCUCCCUGCCCCAGUGCCGCCCGGCUGGGGAGAAACUCAACGCGGCUGAUUUCCGCCAGCUCACUGACACAUAAAUAGUUUUUCUCCUUUUUCAUUUUUUUUUUCUUUUUUUUUUUUUUUUUUUUUUUUUUUUUUUUUUUUUUUUUCCUUUUUUUCUCUAAAGUAAUUUUUGGCAGCGGCCGGUCUGCGCCCUUGGGGCCACUCGCAGCUCAGGCGGCCCCAGGGCCGGCAGAGGCCCCGCUCCGGACAGAUGGACAGAUGCUCGGCGGUGGACGUGUGGCUGCGGCCGCAGCGGGGUGGGCUCGCUCCCCGGCGGGCUCCGGAGGGAGCACCCCCCGCCCCGUCCUCUGCCCCGCCAGAACUCCCGGCGUCGGAAUUUUCCGAGGGAAAAAAGAGAGGUUCAGAGCAGUCUCAACCCUGCGGCCAGUGGAUCUGGGAGAGCCCUUCCGAUAGGCGACUUGGGAUGUUGCAAAGGAGAGAAAAGAAAAGGGUAAGAGGAGAAAUCCGUAUGCGCCCACCUGUGAGCGCCUUGUCCACUGUGCUGUCUCCCAGCUAUUCAGUCUAGCAGAGUUCGGGUUUUUUUCAAGCCCGUUUCCCACAAGAGGGAAGCUCGCCGAGUGCAACAGGUCGCUUCAGCUUCUCCCGGGACCUCACGAAACCGAGUGUCCCUUUCCUGUCCUUCCUCCCGCGGCUCCCCGCGUCGCGACUUUGCUCUGGGAUACUCUUAGAAGGGGGAUGCGGGACGUCCCGCUUGGACAAGGCGCGGAGCCGUCGCCCCUGCGCAGCCCCUUCAGAGGAGCAAGAGAAGGAUGAGGAUGCUGUGUCCCUGAGUUACGGCACUGUGGUACCUUUCCGCGCGUCUCUGCCAUUCCCCCUCACACCCCACAUCCCCUAACGAGACCCCCUUCGCUCCCGGCCCGCUGUGUGAAUCCCCAGCGUGCUGUCAGGAGGCUGAUCAUUUUGCAAAUCAGCAAAUAAAUACUUAUAAAUGCA